rnacentral:lncRNA from 1 species
AAAAAAUAUCUUUGUAUGAGGUUUUUUAGAUGGGUACAGGUUUGCAUUAAAACUAGAAGUAAAUGCAUUUCUGGGAUAGCUCAAAUUGGUUAUAUUAUUAGAUGCAGUAAGUUCCAUUGUUUUAGAUUGUUGUGAUUUUUCUAUUCGAGAAAGAUUAUUGUCCAAAUUGCAUUAAGAGUUUUGGCUUAGCUAUUGCAUGAUCCUUAUAUAAACAAUGCCUAUUGGCCUGACCAAGAUAUCAAGAUAAAUACCAGAUUUUCUUUAUAGUGUCAAUUACUUUUGUGAGGACCCGUGCGGGCGUGUAUUUAGUCCCACAUCGGUUAUUCACUAGGUAAAUCUUGGGUACUUAUGCAGGAUCAAGGAACCCAAAUAAUACCUUCCAGCUAGCCAUUUUGGAUGAGAUCCUAGGUUGUUGCAAAUGGUAUCAGAGCGGAUCCGGCCCAUAACUUAUGUAGACUAGGGAACACUGCAGCACGGAUCCAGUGGGGUUGACCACCGACCGAUCAUG